AAAGAGGCCUAUAUCUCUAACUUCUCUCUAGAUUUUCCAUCUCAUUUUCUUGCUACCCAAACAUCACAUCUUGCUCCACCCUUGCACCACAACCUCAACCCAUCAACACCACCACCGUCCACCUUAAUCUCACGUGAAAAAGCUCCGGCCAACCAUCUCGUUCUCUUUACGCGAUUAGCUCCAAAUCAAGCUCAAACUCUAAAUUUUAUCUCUUCAAGAAUCAAGGCUUGGGUUUGUGUUUCGUGAUGCAAUAGACGCCUAUAGUUGGUCUGGAGAAAGCAUUUUUACUCCUCAUUAGAUUUGUAGAUUUUCAACUAACCAUUUUGGCUUUUUGGAGGUGAGUAUACUUACCAUGGAAAUUCACGUUACCUCUAUUUGAAAUACAAAGUUUGAAAAUAUUUUUAAUUAAAGGAAGUGAAUGAAUUAAAUUACAUGUUUUAUCAUGAUAUGAGUACAUAUUGAAAAAUCUAUAAAUUUAUUGAGGUCAAAAGUUGAGUUUAAAUAAAUGAUUUCAUUUGUAUAAUGAAACAUCAAUUUUUCUGUAAGAUUUAUUUAAGUUGAGUCUUUCAAAUUUUGUGAUGAUGAUAAUGGAAUGACAACGAAACGUUAUGUGAAAAUAUUUCUUUUUAUUGAUCAUAUAAGCGAAUAUAGCCUAUGGGGCCACAAGGGCUGAAAUGCUUUGGGGUCCUAGGAACCAAAAUGUUUUUAAGACCAUAAGAGUCAUUGUACAUAAGGGGUCCUGGGGACCGAAAUAUUAACAUGAGGAUUAAAGUGCUAUGAUGACACGAGUUAUAUAUGUUCCUAUGGACAUCUUUUGGAUAACGGUACCGUCAUCACUUAAGUCGCAAGGUAAUACGACCCAAAGGCUAUGUAAUGGAUUGUAUGAUGGAUACGAGAUUUUAAUGUGUUGAAAAGUUGAUUUUUGUUUUAAUCCCUUUAUUUCAAAUGUAUUCUACCGCACUACAAUAUUCUUUAAAAAAUCUCAAUAAUGGUUUAUGCAAAGUUUUUGCUAUGUAUUAAUUUCAUUACAAUCAAGCUCUUAUAUAAAUUACCUUUAUUGUUGACCCAUUGGGAAAGAACAAGUUUUACAACUCCAUGGUAUUGGUAUACUUAUUGGGCUCUAGCUCAUUCUUUUUAAAUUAAAACUUUUUUAGAUUCCUAGACUAUAGUGUGGCUCACCUCAACUUGGAAGCUUAGAUUUUUUGAAGGAUCAAAGGAGGCCAUUUUGUAGUUGAGGUUUUGCAUAGGGUCACUUUAGGAUGUAGCUUUAUCUUUUGUAUUUUGAAGGAAGCUGAUUUGUAAAUAUUGUUGAUUAUGAAAUUUGAUGUAAAGAUGGAUUCAUGUUGGUGUUAUUAGGAAAAGAUACAUGAGAACAAAUUUAGAGGCAUGAUGAUAUUAUUUGUACUUGAAUGGAUCAACUAGUAUAUAAUAGUUGAUUGAAAGGUUUUAUGCACUA